rnacentral:snRNA from 1 species
GUGCUUGCUUCAGCAGCACAUAUAUAAUUGGAACUAUACAGAGAAGAUUAGUAUGGCCUCUGUGCAAGGAUGAUAUGCAAAUUCGUGAAGUGUUCCAUAUUUAA